rnacentral:sRNA from 1 species
UGACUUCUAAAGAAUCCUGGUACGUGAGGAAGAAACCCAGAAGAGGAAGAGGAAAGCAAAGGAGUCAGGGAUGGCUCUUCCUCAGGAGAGACGGUGUUUCACCAUUUUGGCCAUGCUGGUCUUGAACUCCUGACCUCAGGUGAUCUGCCUGCUUCAGCCUCACAGAAUGCUGGGAUUACAGACACGAGCCACCAUGCCCAGCCCCACCAAUUGUUAUUAAAUAUAUAU